GACGAACGCUGGCGGCGUGCUUAACACAUGCAAGUCGAACGAUGAAGAAGAGCUUGCUCUUCGGAUUAGUGGCGAACGGGUGAGUAACACGUGACUAACCUGCCCCUUUCUCUGGGAUAACGCUCCGAAAGGAGUGCUAAUACCGGAUACUCACAUCGAGGCACAUGCCUUGAUGUGGAACGUUUUUCGGAAAGGGAUGGAGUCGCGGCCUAUAAGCUUGUUGGUGAGGUGACGGCUCACCACGGCGACGAUGGGUAGCCGGCCUGAGAGGGCGACCGGCCACACUGGGACUGAGACACGGCCCAGACUCCUACGGGAGGCAGCAGUGGGGAAUAUUGCACAAUGGGCGAAAGCCUGAUGCAGCGACGCCGCGUGAGGGAUGAAGGUCUUCGGAUUGUAAACCUCUUUCAGUAGGGACGAAGCGAAAGUGACGGUACCUAAAGAAGAAGCACCGGCUAACUACGUGCCAGCCGCCGCCGUAA
rnacentral:rRNA from 1 species